AUACAACAUUGGGAAAGUAUGAACAUCCAAUGUUGAAAAUGAACUAAAAGAUACUGAUUAUAAAGAAUUUAUGCAAUGUACGUGUAAUGGUUAUUAGAUGCAAAUACAGCAGAUCACUCAAGGGAUGCUGAAACAUUGUUUGGUAUUCAAACAACUCUGGAAAAGUAUGAACAUCCAAUUUUGAAAAUGAACUAACGAAUACUGAUUAUAAUGAAUUUAUGCAAUUUACAUAUUGCAAUACAGCAGACAAUGAAAGCCAUGGUGAGACAUGAAUUCGCGAUUAUAUCAGUUUGGAAAAUAUAAACAUCCUAUGAUGAAAAUGGACUAGAAGAUACUGAUAAUAAUAAUUGUUUUAUUCAACAUGGCAAUACAGCAGAUGACUCAAGGAAUGCUGAGACAUUUAUUUGUAUGCAUACAACAUUGGGAAAGUAUGAACAUCCAAUGUUGAAAAUGAACUAAAAGAUACUGAUUAUAAAGAAUUUAUGCAAUAUGCAAAUACAGCAGAUCACUCAAGGGAUGCUGAAACAUUGUUUGGUAUUCAAACAACUCUGGAAAAGUAUGAACAUCCAAUUUUGAAAAUGAACUAACGAAUACUGAUUAUAAUGAAUUUAUGCAAUUUACAUAUUGCAAUACAGCAGACAAUGAAAGCCAUGGUGAGACAUGAAUUCGCGAUUAUAUCAGUUUGGAAAAUAUAAACAUCCUAUGAUGAAAAUGGACUAGAAGAUACUGAUAAUAAUAAUUGUUUUAUUCAACAUGGCAAUACAGCAGAUGACUCAAGGAAUGCUGAGACAUUUAUUUGUAUGCAUACAACUUUGGGAAAGUAUGAACAUCCAAUGUUGAAAAUGAACUAAAAGAUACUGAUUAUAAAGAAUUUAUGCAAUAUGCAAAUACAGCAGAUCACUCAAGGGAUGCUGAAACAUUGUUUGGUAUUCAAACAACUCUGGAAAAAUUGCAAUACAGCAGACAAUGAAAGCCAUGGUGAGACAUGAAUUCGCGAUUAUAUCAGUUUGGAAAAUAUAAACAUCCUAUGAUGAAAAUGGACUAGAAGAUACUGAUAAUAAUAAUUGUUUUAUUCAACAUGGCAAUACAGCAGAUGACUCAAGGAAUGCUGAGACAUUUAUUUGUAUGCAUACAACUUUGGGAAAGUAUGAACAUCCAAUGUUGAAAAUGAACUAAAAGAUACUGAUUAUAAAGAAUUUAUGCAAUAUGCAAAUACAGCAGAUCACUCAAGGGAUGCUGAAACAUUGUUUGGUAUUCAAACAACUCUGGAAAAAUUGCAAUACAGCAGACAAUGAAAGCCAUGGUGAGACAUGAAUUCGCGAUUAUAUCAGUUUGGAAAAUAUAAACAUCCUAUGAUGAAAAUGGACUAGAAGAUACUGAUAAUAAUAAUUGUUUUAUUCAACAUGGCAAUACAGCAGAUGACUCAAGGAAUGCUGAGACAUUUAUUUGUAUGCAUACAACUUUGGGAAAGUAUGAACAUCCAAUGUUGAAAAUGAACUAAAAGAUACUGAUUAUAAAGAAUUUAUGCAAUAUGCAAAUACAGCAGAUCACUCAAGGGAUGCUGAAACAUUGUUUGGUAUUCAAACAACUCUGGAAAAGUAUGAACAUCCAAUUUUGAAAAUGAACUAACGAAUACUGAUUAUAAUGAAUUUAUGCAAUUUACAUAUUGCAAUACAGCAGACAAUGAAAGCCAUGGUGAGACAUGAAUUCGCGAUUAUAUCAGUUUGGAAAAUAUAAACAUCCUAUGAUGAAAAUGGACUAGAAGAUACUGAUAAUAAUAAUUGUUUUAUUCAACAUGGCAAUACAGCAGAUGACUCAAGGAAUGCUGAGACAUUUAUUUGUAUGCAUACAACUUUGGGAAAGUAUGAACAUCCAAUGUUGAAAAUGAACUAAAAGAUACUGAUUAUAAAGAAUUUAUGCAAUAUGCAAAUACAGCAGAUCACUCAAGGGAUGCUGAAACAUUGUUUGGUAUUCAAACAACUCUGGAAAAGUAUGAACAUCCAAUUUUGAAAAUGAACUAACGAAUACUGAUUAUAAUGAAUUUAUGCAAUUUACAUAUUGCAAUACAGCAGACAAUGAAAGCCAUGGUGAGACAUGAAUUCGCGAUUAUAUCAGUUUGGAAAAUAUAAACAUCCUAUGAUGAAAAUGGACUAGAAGAUACUGAUAAUAAUAAUUGUUUUAUUCAACAUGGCAAUACAGCAGAUGACUCAAGGAAUGCUGAGACAUUUAUUUGUAUGCAUACAACUUUGGGAAAGUAUGAACAUCCAAUGUUGAAAAUGAACUAAAAGAUACUGAUUAUAAAGAAUUUAUGCAAUAUGCAAAUACAGCAGAUCACUCAAGGGAUGCUGAAACAUUGUUUGGUAUUCAAACAACUCUGGAAAAGUAUGAACAUCCAAUUUUGAAAAUGAACUAACGAAUACUGAUUAUAAUGAAUUUAUGCAAUUUACAUAUUGCAAUACAGCAGACAAUGAAAGCCAUGGUGAGACAUGAAUUCGCGAUUAUAUCAGUUUGGAAAAUAUAAACAUCCUAUGAUGAAAAUGGACUAGAAGAUACUGAUAAUAAUAAUUGUUUUAUUCAACAUGGCAAUACAGCAGAUGACUCAAGGAAUGCUGAGACAUUUAUUUGUAUGCAUACAACUUUGGGAAAGUAUGAACAUCCAAUGUUGAAAAUGAACUAAAAGAUACUGAUUAUAAAGAAUUUAUGCAAUAUGCAAAUACAGCAGAUCACUCAAGGGAUGCUGAAACAUUGUUUGGUAUUCAAACAACUCUGGAAAAAUUGCAAUACAGCAGACAAUGAAAGCCAUGGUGAGACAUGAAUUCGCGAUUAUAUCAGUUUGGAAAAUAUAAACAUCCUAUGAUGAAAAUGGACUAGAAGAUACUGAUAAUAAUAAUUGUUUUAUUCAACUUACGUGUAGAGCUUAUAAUAGAAUAUAAUUUAAAGAAAAUUAAUAGUUAUGUAACAAAAUGUUAAUGUCAUGAUAUCCUGACAAUAGGACUAAGUAAAUGAUUCUUAUUUACUAUAAUUAACUUUCAUACAAUUAAUUUAACUUGAUACUUCAUAAACACUAAAAAACAUGAUUUUAUAUGAUCAUUUUGACGAAUAUCAAAAAUUCAUGUUUUAAACUGCUUAUAAAGCACUGAGUUAUCGAGUCAUUCUCCAAUUAUUAUAUAUAUUUAACUGAUUAAAUUUUUUUAGAUGGCAAUACAGCAGAUGACUCAAGGAAUGCUGAGACAUUUAUUUGUAUGCAUACAACUUUGGGAAAGUAUGAACAUCCAAUGUUGAAAAUGAACUAAAAGAUACUGAUUAUAAAGAAUUUAUGCAAUAUGCAAAUACAGCAGAUCACUCAAGGGAUGCUGAAACAUUGUUUGGUAUUCAAACAACUCUGGAAAAGUAUGAACAUCCAAUUUUGAAAAUGAACUAACGAAUACUGAUUAUAAUGAAUUUAUGCAAUUUACAUAUUGCAAUACAGCAGACAAUGAAAGCCAUGGUGAGACAUGAAUUCGCGAUUAUAUCAGUUUGGAAAAUAUAAACAUCCUAUGAUGAAAAUGGACUAGAAGAUACUGAUAAUAAUAAUUGUUUUAUUCAACAUGGCAAUACAGCAGAUGACUCAAGGAAUGCUGAGACAUUUAUUUGUAUGCAUACAACUUUGGGAAAGUAUGAACAUCCAAUGUUGAAAAUGAACUAAAAGAUACUGAUUAUAAAGAAUUUAUGCAAUAUGCAAAUACAGCAGAUCACUCAAGGGAUGCUGAAACAUUGUUUGGUAUUCAAACAACUCUGGAAAAGUAUGAACAUCCAAUUUUGAAAAUGAACUAACGAAUACUGAUUAUAAUGAAUUUAUGCAAUUUACAUAUUGCAAUACAGCAGACAAUGAAAGCCAUGGUGAGACAUGAAUUCGCGAUUAUAUCAGUUUGGAAAAUAUAAACAUCCUAUGAUGAAAAUGGACUAGAAGAUACUGAUAAUAAUAAUUGUUUUAUUCAACAUGGCAAUACAGCAGAUGACUCAAGGAAUGCUGAGACAUUUAUUUGUAUGCAUACAACUUUGGGAAAGUAUGAACAUCCAAUGUUGAAAAUGAACUAAAAGAUACUGAUUAUAAAGAAUUUAUGCAAUGUACGUGUAAUGGUUAUUAGGUAUAGUUAAUAGAAAAUUAAUAGCAAUGUAUCUAAAAGUUACUCAAAUGCUUCCCUGACCAUAAUAUUAAUUAAAUUAUU